CCAUCCUGUUAAGUCAGGCAACGAGCGAGACCCACGCCCACAGUUGCCAGCGUACUCUCCGGAGUGACGGGUACACUGUGGGGACCGCCGCUGCUAAAGCGGAGGAAGGAAUGGGCAACGGUAGGUCAGUAUGCCCCGAAUAUCCCGGGCUACACGCGAGCUACAAUGGUUGGUACAAUGGGUAUCUACCCCGAAAGGGACGGGAAUCUCCUAAAACCAAUCUUAGUUCGGAUUGAGGGCUGCAACUCGCCCUCAUGAAGCUGGAAUCCGUAGUAAUCGCGUUUCAACAGAACGCGGUGAAUACGUCCCUGCUCCUU
rnacentral:rRNA from 1 species